ACAUGCCUAUAUCAUAGCAUUACUGCACUGGAUCCCAUUAGAAAUCCUUAGUUAAGUGUGCUUGGGCUAGAGUAGUACUACGAUGGGUGAAUUCCCCGGAAGUCUUAUUGUUUUACAUGCC
rfam:Picea glauca, whole genome shotgun sequence.